UGGCGACCGGCGCACGGGUGAGUAACACGUAUCCAACCUGCCCUUUACUCGGGGAUAGCCUUUCGAAAGAAGGAUUAAUACCCGAUAGUAUAAUGAUUCCGCAUGGUUUCAUUAUUAAAGGAUUCCGGUAAAGGAUGGGGAUGCGUUCCAUUAGGUUGUUGGUGAGGUAACGGCUCACCAAGCCUUCGAUGGAUAGGGGUUCUGAGAGGAAGGUCCCCCACAUUGGAACUGAGACACGGUCCAAACUCCUACGGGAGGCAGCAUG
rnacentral:rRNA from 1 species